UAGGGAAUCUUCCGCAAUGGGCGAAAGCCUGACGGAGCAACGCCGCGUGAGUGAUGAAGGUCUUCGGAUCGUAAAACUCUGUUAUUAGGGAAGAACAAAUGUGUAAGUAACUAUGCACGUCUUGACGGUACCUAAUCAGAAAGCCACGGCUAACUACGUGCCAGCAGCCGCGGUAAUACGUAGGUGGCAAGCGUUAUCCGGAAUUAUUGGGCGUAAAGCGCGCGUAGGCGGUUUUUUAAGUCUGAUGUGAAAGCCCACGGCUCAACCGUGGAGGGUCAUUGGAAACUGGAAAACUGGAGUGCAGAGGAGGAAAGUGGAAUUCCAUGUGUGGCGGUGAAAUGCGCAGAGAUAUGGGGGAACACCAGUGGCGAAGGCGACUUUCUGGGCUGUAACUGACGCUGAUGUGCGAAAGCGUGAGGAUCAAACAGG
rnacentral:rRNA from 1 species